UAAACAAUUCCAGCUUGAUGUAAAUAUUCUACCUUUUGCUAGGAAAUUCCUUCAAUUGUUUAGUGUUUAUGAGAGUAACAAAUUGAAUGUAAAUGAUAUAACAAACAAAUAGACAUUGUUUUUUUUUUUAUAAAUUUUAAUUUGUACCAAGUCAAAUUUGUCUUUUAAGUCUAUGCAUGACAUGAUUGAUUAGACAGGUACACAAAACGUUUACUAAGGAUGGAAAGGGG
rnacentral:lncRNA from 1 species